GCUCUCAUUGAAUCAUCUUCACCACCAACAUGCUCUCUGUAGCUCUGCUGCUGCUGGCUGCUGGAUCCUGUGUUAAGUGUCAGCAGCUGACACAACCAGCCUCUACAUCAGUGCAGUCAGGUCAGACUCUGACCAUCAGCUGUCAGGUCUCUUAUUCUGUCACCAGCUAUGGGACACACUGGAUCAGACAACCUGCAGGAAAAGCACCAGAAUGGAUGGGUGUUAUUUCGAGUGGUGGAAGCAAUGCAUAUGCCACCAGUGUUCAAGGACGCAUAAAAAUCACCAGAGACACCAGUAAAAACAUUGUGUAUCUGAGACUGUCCGCCAUGAAACUAGAGGAGUCUGCUGUGUAUUACUGUGCUAUUAACUCACAGUGA